AAAACAAACAAAACAAAAACACAUCUGGGAAACACUGCCACAACUAAAACUUGGAUACGCAGCAUUUAUAUAUAUUUUUAAAAUAUUUCCUUUACAGCUUGUCUUAAUGACUUUUGUCUUAUAUACGUCUGCCUUCCCUUGGACUGUUCUGAUUGGCUGUUGUUUAGGGAGGCUAUUUGGUUGUGAGGUUAUAAAAGAGGAAAAAAGAAAUGGAGUUUUAACUGACUACACCUCCACUUCAUUUCCCCAACGCCACAUCAAAGAAAGGUAAGCCAACUGUUCUGUCUCUUAUUCUGUUGCUCUACAUAUUCAUUUAAUGUUGUUUAUGAUUUGUCUGUCUGUGCGAGUGUGAAAUAAUUUUUUUUUAUUUUCUAAAUGUGUGUCGUCAUUAGGAACAGUUGGAAGUGCUGUCAUACUUUACAAGAAUAAUAAAAAGCAAAUAUGGAAAAGGAAAAAUGACUGACUCAGUUAUUACAAAAGUUCAGUUUUCAUCAGCCCUGCGUGUUUGUCUCAAUAUACAAAUAAUAAUGAUAAUAUCAGAUGUCUAUGGUAACAGAAUAACACAAACUAGUACUGCUGUUCAUCAUCCCAGCUAAAUUGAUUUUAAACACAUUACUCGGUCAAUGUUGUUUUCUUUCUUUCACUGUAGACAAAAUGAACUUUGCUGUCUUGACUGCCAUGGUCACUGUAGCCCUUGUCCAUCUGGGCACUACGAACUCUUUACCUUGUCAAGGCACAAGCCUCCGAAGUAAAUAUGACGAAUUUAUCAGAAGACACAUCCUUCAAGAUGAAUUUAACCGAAGUCUUCCAAGAGAGUGGGAGAAAUAUUUGAAAAAGAAAGGCCUCUGGUGCAGAACUCCAGUGCAGUCCUUCAUCGAGAGCAGAGAUCGGGUGAAUAUCGAUAGGAUCUGCAGCCGAAAUGGUCGACGUCUAAUUAAUGCCUUCCCAGAUAACUUGUGUAUCAGUAGUUCAAACAUACUGGUACAUGACAUCCAGUUUGUAAAUGGUUGUGAACUUAAUGUGAUAUCACAUCAAAAGCCUGUGAUUGUAGCCUGCAAUAAUGUUGAAAACCGCUGCCGCCCUGUGCAUUUUGAGAGAUACCAACAGCAAAUGCCAAGCAAUAUGCCCUGCAUGUAGCCACAGUUUUGCACUAUUUGAUGUACUAAUUAGUCAAUCGGGCUUUUCAAGUAUAAUCUCAAUCAAAUAAAUGAAUAAAUGUAUCCUACAGAGCUUGCUGAAUGGUGCAACUCUGAGUAUCUGUCUUCAUGUUUAUUAAAUGUAACAGUGAGUUCCUGUUCAAAUAAUGUGAGUAAAUGUUCAGAGUCAUUAUUGUCAGUCAUUGUUUUCAUUUUUAGAAUGUUGGCUUUAUUCUUUGUCAAUUUGGUUAAAUAUUUCAACACAAUUAACAUAAAGAGUGAAUCUUACGCAUUUUUGUUGUAAUUGGGAAGUCGUCAUUACUGGGAUUCAGUCUUGUUCUCCAAGUGCUGUGCUAUAGCCAGUCUGGCUUCUAUCUGGAAUCCAUUUUUAAGCACAUGUAAAACAAUUAUAAAACAGUUGUCAGCUUUUCUUGUCUUUCAGCUGUUAAUACCAACAAAUAUUUGGGGGGGGGGGGGGGGGGGGGGGGGUUGCAGAGCAUGUCUGUAAGACCCAGUGACUAUGAGUUAUGAGUUUUGCAUACAGCGGCAUAAAUUUGCUUGUCUUGCUGCAGCUGCAGGAACACUGCAUUUUCCUCUGUUAUAAGCUGUGUUACAUGCUUAAGUAAAUUAUAAAGGAUGCUUUUCUA
ensembl:lncRNA